rnacentral:rRNA from 1 species
CCUCCUACGGGACGCAGCAGUGGGGAAUAUCGGGCAAUGGGCGCAAGCCUGACCCAGCAACGCCGCGUGAAGGAAGAAGGCUUUCGGGUUGUAAACUUCUUUUCUCAGGGACGAAGAAAGUGACGGUACCUGAGGAAUAAGCCACGGCUAACUACGUGCCAGCAGCCGCGGUAAUACGUAGGUGGCAAGCGUUAUCCGGAUUUAUUGGGUGUAAAGGGCGUGUAGGCGGGAGCGCAAGUCAGAUGUGAAAACUUAGGGCGCUACCCUGAGCCUGCACUUGAAAC